AGAGAAUAGAUACCCGGGUAGUCCACGCGGUAAACGAUGAGCACUAGGUGUAGGUGGUGUGAAAAAAACUAUCUGUGCCGCAGCCAACGCGCUAAGUGCUCCGCCUGGGGAGUACGGCCGCAAGGCUAAAACUCGAAGGAAUUGACGGGGGCCCGCACAAGCAGCGGAGCGUGUGGUUUAAUUCGAUGCGACGCGAAGAACCUUACCUGGGUUUGACAUGCACGUAGUAGUGAAGCGAAAGUGGAACGACCCUUCGGGGAGCGUGCACAGGUGCUGCAUGGCUGUCGUCAGCUCGUGUCGUGAGAUGUUGGGUUAAGUCCCGCAACGAGCGCAACCCUUGUCGCUAGUUACAAGUGUCUAGCGAGACUGCCGAUAUCAAGUUGGAGGAAGGUGGGGAUGACGUCAAGUCAGCAUGGCCUUUAUAUCCAGGGCGACACACACGCUACAAUGGGCGGUACAAUGGGCAGCGAAGGGCGACCUGGAGCGAAUCUCAUCAAAGCCGUUCGUAGUUCGGAUUGCA
rnacentral:rRNA from 1 species